CCUACGGGAGGCAGCAGUGGGGAAUAUUGCACAAUGGGGGAAACCCUGAUGCAGCGACGCCGCGUGAGUGAAGAAGUAUCUCGGUAUGUAAAGCUCUGUCAGCAUGGAAGUAAAUGACGGUACCUGACCAAGAAGCUCCGUCUAACUACGUGCCAGCAGCCGCGGUAAUACGUAGGGGGCCAGCGUUAUCCGGAUUUACUGGGUGUAAAGGGAGCGUAGACGGCAGGGCAAGUCUGGAGUGAAAGGCGGGGGCUCAACCCCCGGAGUGCUCUGGAAACUGCCAGGCUGGAGUGCAGGAGAGGUAAGUGGAAUUCCUGGUGUAGCGGUGAAAUGCGUAGAUAGUAGGAAGAACACCAGUGGCGAAGGCGGCUUACUGGACUGUAACUGACGUUGAGGCUCGAAAGCGUGGGGAGCAAACAGGAUUAGAUACCCCUGUAGUC
rnacentral:rRNA from 1 species